rnacentral:RNase_MRP_RNA from 1 species
AGCACGGCUUCGCAGUGCGCACACGGGGCGCUUGCUCCCAGAGUUGCUGCGAGGAAAGUCCCCGUGCCUUGGUGCAGAGAGUGUGAGUGGGAGACCGCAGGGCUCGUGCCAAACCUCCAGUGGUGAUGCUUUUCGCUGAGCCUU